rnacentral:rRNA from 1 species
AGAUUGAACGCUGGCGGAAUGCUUUACACAUGCAAGUCGAACGGCAGCACGGGACUCAGGCAACUGAGCCCUGGUGGCGAGUGGCGAACGGGUGAGUAACAUAUCGGAACGUACCCAGUCGUGGGGGGAUAACUCUCCGAAAGGAGAGCUAAUACCGCAUACGUCCUGAGGGAGAAAGCGGGGGACCUAAGGGUAACUGAGGGCCUCGCGCGAUUGGAGCGGCCGAUAUCGGAUUAGCUAGCUGGUGAGGUAAAGGACUCACCAAGGCGACGAUCCGUAGCGGGUCUGAGAGGACGACCCGCCACACUGGAACCUGAGACACGGUCCAGACUCCUACGGGAGCGAGCAGUGGGGAAUUUUGGGACAAGUGGGGGCAACCUAGAUCCAGCCAGUUCCGCGUGAGU